rnacentral:lncRNA from 1 species
GACUUCCGCCUGCGCGCUUCCGGCACCCACAGUCGGGUUCCAGGUUCCACCGUGGCGCUCCAGAGCGCCGCGCUUCUCGGGCGCACCUCUUCUCUGCCCUCUGUCACCUCAUACCCGUCAGUCCGCUCAGGACUGAUGAACCAAGUACUUUCUGAUGGAGACCGAGUUGGUCGAUGAGGCAGAGCUCAGGGGUUACCUAGUUGGGGCCAGGGUAAGGGAACAAAUGGAAAGAGCGGUUCGUAAAUCUUUAAACAGCUCUUAGAGGUUAUUUGCAAGAAUAAUUCCUAAGCAUCGGAAAUGCUGGGACAUUCUUGUGUGGGAGAAGUGUGCACACAACAAACAUAUCUUUCAGAAAGUCGAAAUGAGAUAGAUGAGAGAGGGUAGUAAAUAUAAAGUAGCAAUGGCAGGUUGCAAUGAAGAUACCGGGGCUUAGUUAAGCAAAGCAGUCGUGUUAAGGAAGACUAUUACGGCAUUAUUACUCUUCGACAAGGUGCAUAGCUUUUCCCAUUGAUAAUGGGAAAUGGUUAUGUCUCUGUGUUAGUGCGCAAGCAUUAUGCUCAAGGAGGAGAAAAGUUUAGCAUAAAAAGCCCAUGGAGUUUUAGACUUCAACCGAAUUCUUCCCCAAGUGCAUCAUCUUAGAAUAUAAAACACAGUCCUGGAUGACUGUAACCCCCAAAUUCAAGAAAAGGCAAAUUCAGAAAAUAGCACCUACAGAAAGAACUACUGACAUACCUAAAAAGAGCUUUAACAUCAAAGGUAAUUUGUACUGGCUGAGCGUCCUGGCUUUGGAACAUUGUGAUCUAGCGAUGUGCCUCUGGGCAUGGGUUCAUCACUGGAGAAAUGAAAGUUAGAAGAGAAGACAAGGGUGCUCACCCUCUCAAAGAGUGGUAAAGAUUAAGUUAAAAAAUACUAUAUCACAAAAAAAUAGGUGAUAUAGUAGUUGUCCCAGGCGGUCCUGACCACUUUUAUAACAAAAGGAGGCGUGUCCAUCAGCGCACACCAUCUCAAAUACAUGCACAUACUGAACUUUGGGCUAAGUCAAGACAACGCCCUUUGUCGAAAAAGGAAGCAGCUGUCUCCAAAUAUAAAGAGGGCUGCAGGGGCCUGGUCUCUGCAUCUUCCAACUCUACAGCAGGGCCUGGAGAGACGAAGGCGAAGCAAACUAGAAGUGCUCGCUCGGCCCUGGUCGCCGGAGGACACAGGUUCUAGACCUGAAUUUAGGGUCGCAGACUUGCGGUGCUAACGCCUGAGGGUUCCCAGGGUUUCCCGCUCGCUUUCACAGACCACCACAAGCUUAAGACCGAGAAUCACUUCCCAGGAUGGCCUGGGAUACUCAGUGAUGAACCCACGGUGACCUGGUGCUUCCUGCCCCGAGACCUGACAGCCUCAACACUCUGGGUAAAGUAAAUUAAAAACCCGGACAACUGGAGUCUUUGAGAAUGAAAACGACAUCGGGAUUCCAGACAGCUGACUCGCUCAGAGCUCCAACUGGGUGUACGCACGGCGAGUAAAGCCAACUCCUACAACGACACGUCACCGUGCUGGGCCGCUUCUUGGCUGGUGGGCGGGGCGACCCCUACUUCCGGAUCCGGCCUCUUCUGGAAUGAAACACCAAGAGGGCAGCCCUGACAGGAUUCACCCCCAGGGAUGCUAAGACGCUGAGACCUGCUGUUCCAGCUCACUGAUUGAUCCUGCCUAAACUGAUGCUCUUUUCAGAGACUUGCUUCCAGAACAGCGUCAGGAAAGACUGCUGAUCCCAGAUGACCUUAACUCAGCCAGCCAUUCAAACCAUCCCAAUCAAGACUUCAGUUAAGGCCUGAACUUUCUGAACACAGAGACAGGACAACAAAUGAUGCCAGCUAGCUUUCUUUCCACAUUACCGUUUUCCAAUUCCCUUUUGGGUCCCCAAACAGGAAUUCCUCAUCAAUAUUCAGUAAGAAGCUAUUAUAAUGAUAUUGUUGUCCCAGUCCCUAAAGUUGGGGUGGAUAGUUUUGGUCAUUUUAUAAAUUAUAGAUAUGUUGUCAUUUUAAGGGAUGAUUUACAAAUAGUUAUAGUCUUGGACAAGGAGGAAACUAGAGAGCUUAGACUAAGGAAUUUCUAUCUUUUCUCUUUCUUAUCUUCCUUUCUUUCUUCCUUCCUUUCUUUCUUAAGUAAAGGAAAGGGGAAAUAUAGUAAUAUUAUAAGAAAUUAGACAAAUAGGGAUAGAUUAUUAAAUCUACUUUAAAAAAAA